rnacentral:rRNA from 1 species
CGCCUCUUGCCAAACAACACGUAUAAGAGGUCCAGCCUGCCCAGUGACUAUAUGUUCAACGGCCGCGGUAUUCUGACCGUGCAAAGGUAGCGUAAUCACUUGUCUUUUAAAUAAAGACUGGUAUGAAUGGCACCACGAAGGUUCAACUGUCUCCUGCAUCCAAUCCAUUAAACUGACCUCCCCGUGCAGAGGCGGGGAUAUACCCAUAAGACGAGAAGACCCUAUGGAGCUUUAAACUUACGGCAACUGCUAAACAAUCCAACCCCACACGGGAAAACAGACAAUUAAGCAACAAUGACCUAAAGUUUUCGGUUGGGGCGACCACGGAGAAAAAAAAAUCCUCCUUGAUGUACGGGGCCUUACCCUCUUAACCAAGAACGACAGUUCUAAGUAACAAAACAUUUGACCACUAUUGAUCCAGUCCAACUGAUCAACGAACCAAGUUACCCUAGGGAUAACAGCGCAAUCCAUUUCGAAAGUUCCUAUCGACAAAUGGGUUUACGACCUCGAUGUUGGAUCAGGGCAUCCCAGUGGUGCAGCCGCUACUAAAGGUUCGUUUGUUCAACGAUUAAAGCCCUACGUGAUCUGAGUUCAGACCGGAGUAAUCCAGGUCAGUUUCUAUCUAUGCAGUAUUUUCUCUAGUACGAAAGGACCGAGAAAAUGAGGUCUAUGUCACAAACAAACCUCCUCCCUUAUCAAUGAAAACAACUUAAUUGAAUAAAGGACUAACAACUUCAGCCCAAGAUAAGGGCUA